GAGGCCCGAACAGUGGCCGGCGAGGGACAAUCCUGUCAGGAGCCCUGUCAGGAGGCGAGGGAGGGAGAGGGCUCGCUCGGGGGGUUUGAAGGAAAACAAGCCGCGCGGGCCGACGGGAGAUGUAGUCUUGGCCAGCGGAGCGGGGAGAGGAGGCGGGCACGCGCGGCAAGGGCGUCGGGACUACAAAUCCCAGAAGGCGCCGCGGCGGGGAGAAGGCGCCCUCUCCCGCCCAGAAGAGGAGGGGGCUUCCGCUCCGGCGCUGGCGACGCUGCGGGGAGGCUGCCGCGGUGCAUGAUGGGCGGCGGCGCCAAGCGGGGAGGGGGAGGCCGGGAAGAAGCCGAGACAUCCGGGUACUCGCGCGUUCAGCCCUCGUGUGAACGCGCAAACCCGUUAACGCUCCCAGCUCCCGCGUUGAGAGGCGGGAGGGAAGAGAGGGAAGAGACGGGAGAGCCCUGACCCCGUUCUGAGGGCCGGCCCACAUGUCACGGAGGGGCGGCGGCAGCGUGGUAUAAUGGUUAGAGUGUCGGGCUAAGGACCUGGGUUCGAAUCCCCACUCGGCCGUGGGACUCGCUGGGUGGCCGUGGGCCCUUCACUGCCUCUCGACCUAACCUACCUCGCAAGGUGGUUGCUGGGAUGACACGUGGAGGAGGGAGAGAACCAGGGGUAAAUGGAAGGAAGAUGAUUUAACUGGCUGCUUUAUGCUCUCCUAUGGGAGAGGGCUGCAUGGCCAUCCAUCACGGCUGCUUGAGGUUCCUUCAUUGCAGGGGUUGGACUAGAUGACCCUCAGAGGUCCCUUCCAACUCUGAUUCUGUGAUCGUCCCAAAGGCAAGAAUUGGAAAAUAGAGGAAAUGGAUGUGAAACAAGAACGUCUUGGUACCGCUGACCUGGUGGUUUAUGGGCUCGCAUGGGAAACGUCCGAGCAUGAACUGGAGGAGUUCUUCAGCAGAUUUGGAGCAGUUCUCAAGAGUCCAGGUGAUGACUGAUUGCAGAUCCAGCCAGUCGAAGCGGAUCGGACUGGUGACAUUUGCCGACUACGAAGCACAGAUGAAAGUCAUGGUAGAGAGGCUUGGAGCGCCACAUUCGAUCCCAGCUUCUGAAAUAGAACCUCAAGGAAGUUUCCUUGCGAUUUAAGCUGAAGUGUCAUGUUAAUCUCUCACGGUGUUUGCUCAGAAGCACAGAUGAAUCCAGAGAUGGUUGUUCUUUUUCUCUCCGUUUCUCAAAAAAGGGGUGUCUUCUAAGCUUGACAUAAGUUCUGUUCCCGGUGGCUUUACUGCGCAGGCACACGGAAAUGUGUGAAGUGUUCAUAGCAGAAGGGCUUCUGUGCAAGAGAGCAGAUAUGUGUGUACACAACUCUGCAUGCAGUAUGUUGGUUAUUAAAACAGCUAGACAAAAACAUUUGCAUUAAUUAAAAUCUAAGGACUGCUGCUGCUGCUUCCCAGCAAGGACCACGCUGCUGAGAGUCUGAGGGCCCUGCUCCUGCCUCUCUCCACCUGGCCCAGGGCGGGGCCUGACAGGCUUCAUAAGGACUGCUGCUGCCCAGCAAGAAGCCAACUUCAGAGGAAUUUUCAAAUCCGAGGAAGCCGUGUGUUUGGGGUUGCACCAAAGACAUGAAUGCAAAUGAUACCUGUGAGCUUAUUUGCCGGUUUGGAGAAGUCACUGAUGUCUUUGUUAAAUAACCCUUCGGAGGCUUUGCCUUUGUUACGUUUGCUGAUGAUCAGAGCCAGGAAGCAGCAAUGCCAUGGUGAGUAGGAGAACUCCUGUCACCCUCGCACAACAUAGAGGACGUUACGACUACCACAACUCCCAAGGAGUGUUAAAAACUGGGAAAGAAAAGCAACAUGUUUGAGAAGCACAUGCUUUUAUGCAACUGUUUGAAUGUUUCGUUAUUGUUGUAAGUCUGUUUUGAAGAAAGUUCUGUUAGUAAAGUUCCUUUUUCUGGAACCAUA